GAGUGCCCACUGUGUGUCAACCUUGUGCUAAGCAUUGUUGGGGAGACAGAGAUGAGAGCAUCAUUUUCCCCAGGAGGCUGUUGGUGGAACAAGAGUGUGUCCUUAGAGGACGGAUUCUCUCUACUUCAUUCACUAAUGUAUCCGGAUCACCUAGAAGAGUGAGCUGGCCCUUAGAAGAUGUUGGAUUGACAUUUUUUUUUUUGUCUUAUGCAGAACAGAAGCCCUGUGAGACCUAUAGAGCUUUAGCUGAAGCUACCAGCAACCCCUCCAUGGUGUGGCAUUGAAUUUUGAGGCCCACGCUGUUUCCAUCAUGGGGAAGCCUCAUCUUCAGGCAGAGACCUGGAAGCAGUGAAAAGAGUGACUGGGUGUCGUCUGGCUUUUUGAAGGAAUAAGAGGUACUUGGAAACGAAAGCUGAGUAAGACCUUGACACCACCCUUGAAAAGUUUGUAGUCCAGUGGCAGACACAAAAUCAGAAUUAUAAACCAAGAAAUGCUGUGAAGUGAUAGAAAUUUGUACAAAUAACGUGGGGCCACAGCAGAAGAGGUGGUGAAGUCUGCCGAGAGGAGAGAGGUAUCUGAAGACUUCAUGGG